rnacentral:rRNA from 1 species
CCUACGGGAGGCAGCAGUGAGGAAUAUUGGUCAAUGGACGAGAGUCUGAACCAGCCAAGUAGCGUGAAGGAUGACUGCCCUAUGGGUUGUAAACUUCUUUUAUAUGGGAAUAAAACGUUCCACGUGUGGGAUUUUGUAUGUACCAUAUGAAUAAGGAUCGGCUAACUCCGUGCCAGCAGCCGCGGUAAUACGGAGGAUCCGAGCGUUAUCCGGAUUUAUUGGGUUUAAAGGGAGCGUAGGUGGAUUGUUAAGUCAGUUGUGAAAGUUUGCGGCUCAACCGUAAAAUUGCAGUUGAAACUGGCAGUCUUGAGGACAGUAGAGGUGGGCGGAAUGCGUGGUGUAGCGGUGAAAUGCUUAGAUAUCACGAAGAACUCCGAUUGCGAAGGCAGUUCACUGGACUGCAACUGACACUGAGGCUCGAAAGUGUGGGUAUCAAACAGGAUUAGAUACCCCAGUAGUC